rnacentral:rRNA from 1 species
AUUGAACGCUGGCGGCAGGCUUAACACAUGCAAGUCGAGCGGCAGCGGGUCCUUCGGGAUGCCGGCGAGCGGCGGACGGGUGAGUAAUGCCUAGGAAUCUGCCUGGUAGUGGGGGAUAACGUUCGGAAACGGACGCUAAUACCGCAUACGUCCUACGGGAGAAAGUGGGGGAUCUUCGGACCUCACGCUAUCAGAUGAGCCUAGGUCGGAUUAGCUAGUUGGUGGGGUAAAGGCUCACCAAGGCGACGAUCCGUAACUGGUCUGAGAGGAUGAUCAGGCACACUGGAACUGAGACACGGUCCAGACUCCUACGGGAGGCAGCAGUGGGGAAUAUUGGACAAUGGGCGAAGGCCCGAUCCAGCCAUGCCGCGUGUGUGAAGAAGGUCUUCGGAUUGUAAAGCACUUUAAGUUGGGAGGAAGGGCAGUCAGUUAAUACCUGGUUGUUUUGACGUUACCAACAGAAUAAGCACCGGCUAACUUCGUGCCAGCAGCCGCAGUAACAC